CCUACGGGUGGCUGCAGUGGGGAAUAUUGCACAAUGGGCGCAAGCCUGAUGCAGCCAUGCCGCGUGUGUGAAGAAGGCCUUCGGGUUGUAAAGCACUUUCAGCGGGGAGGAAGGCGUUAAGGUUAAUAACCUUGUCGAUUGACGUUACCCGCAGAAGAAGCACCGGCUAACUCCGUGCCAGCAGCCGCGGUAAUACGGAGGGUGCAAGCGUUAAUCGGAAUUACUGGGCGUAAAGCGCACGCAGGCGGUCUGUCAAGUCGGAUGUGAAAUCCCCGGGCUCAACCUGGGAACUGCAUUCGAAACUGGCAGGCUAGAGUCUUGUAGAGGGGGGUAGAAUUCCAGGUGUAGCGGCGAAAUGCGUAGAGAUCUGGAGGAAUACCGGUGGCGAAGGCGGCCCCCUGGACAAAGACUGACGCUCAGGUGCGAAAGCGUGGGGAGCAAACAGGAUUAGAUACCCUAGUAGUC
rnacentral:rRNA from 1 species